rnacentral:rRNA from 1 species
GGACAACCUACCCUUGGGUCCGGCAUAAUCCUGGGAAACUGGGAAUAAUUCCGGAUAGGUCACCGAUGCUGGAAUGCGCGGUGGCCGAAAGCUCCGGCGCCCGAGGAUGGGUCUGCGGCCUAUCAGGGUUGUAGUGGGUGUAACGUACCUACUAGCCUACGACGGGUACGGGUUGUGAGAGCAAGAGCCCGGAGAUGGAUUCUGAGACACGAAUCCAGGCCCUACGGGGUGCAGCAGGCGCGAAAACUUUACAAUGCGGGAAACCGUGAUAAGGGGAUCUCGAGUGCCAGCAUAUAAUGUUGGCUGUCCAGAUGCCUAAAAAGCAUCUGUUAGCAAGGGCCGGGCAAGACCGGUGCCAGCCGCCGCGGUAACACCGGCGGCCCGAGUGGUAACCGCUAUUAUUGGGUCUAAAGGGUCUGUAGCCGGCCAGGUAAGUCCCUUGGGAAAUCUGGCAGCUCAACUGUCAGGCUGCUAGGGGAUACUGUUUGGCUUGGGACCGGGAGAGGUGAGAGGUACCUUGGGGGUAGGGGUGAAAUCUUGUGAUCCCCGAGGGACCACCAGUGGCGAAGGCGUCUCACCAGAACGGGUCCGACGGUAAGGGACGAAAGCUAGGGGCACGAACCGGAUUAGAUACCCGGGUAGUCCUAGCCGUAAACGAUGCUCGCUAGGUGUCAGUCACGGUGCGACCGUGAUUGGUGCCGUAGGGAAGCCGUGAAGCGAGCCACCUGGGAAGUAUGGCCGCAAGGCUGAAACUUAA